rnacentral:lncRNA from 1 species
CUAUUUCAACACUAAAAGACUCUCAGUCAUGUCAUACUGAACAUCUUAGUGUGAUUUUCUCUUUGCUCCAAACAGGACAACGUGAAUCUUUGAUGAUUGCCGUUUCAGUGAGCAUCAGCUUUGUGUUCAUCUUCCUGCUUUUCUCUGUCUGGUCAGUACCUUGAACUAAAACAUGUGACAGCAGCAGCUGUGUAUUAAUGCUGGUUUGACCUCAGUCUGGACUUCUUCCCACUUCAUGGAUAUUUUCACUUUCCUGAUGUCUUUCAGGUGGUUUAAGAAGCGUCGGCGCCCACAACAGACUCAGACUCAAGCAGCAGAGCAGUUUUCCAGCCACAUGGCGGCAGAUGAACCAGAGAAGGACGUCAGCGGCGACGAGGGCCUUCAAUACGAGCACGUCAGCUUCUCAAAGCGGAGAGAUGGAGCUUUGACCGUGUCAGUGCAGGACAACAGACAGCAGGAGGAGACCGUGUACGCACAGGUCAAAGUUCACGGGCAAGAAAGUCAGUCAAGUCAAGUUGCUAACGGCCCCGAGGAUCUGUACGCUAAAGUCAAGAGAAACUAGGUGUUUCUUCACCCUCCACACCCUGCAGAUUAAAUCAUGACAGGAGAACUUCUCACCACAUGAGGCUGAGAGCAGGAGUCUGUUUACUGUAUAAAGACAGAAGCAACGGUCACAAAAUAGAGAAGUAUUUUUUUGUGACCUCCACCCUGUUACAAGUGUAGAAUUUGUACACAUUUCGUUUGAAGUUUGUUCCGUUCAGUCAUUUCUUCACUCACCUCAUCAGCAGGAUCCAGGUCUGACCACCAAACAGGAAGAAGGAGGUCCUCCAUCCUUUCAUGGGGAGUUGAGUGGAGCGUCCCUGUAUGGCAGAGAUGAGAGGGAACUAUAUAAUAUUGUUGGAUUCUUGUUCAUUGAUGACUCUGUUGAAACUGUAAGAUGGUGAUGAGUAGCUGCUUUGUGAAUUUGUAUCUUUGUUCCAUUGAUGGUCACAUGGGAGGGGCAGCAGGGACAUCAACAGGUCUCCUGCACACAGAAGUAAACCUGAGGAAACAGAGCUAACCACUGCGCCACUGUGCCUCAGCACACUUUACAGCGAUAUGUUUAAAGUCCUUUUUUCUCAUUUAUUUCUGUUUGUAAAUCAUGUUUGCUUUUCUGCCAUAUUUGAUGUUCUUUUCUAUUUAUUCUGUGUGAAGCAACAUUGUAAAACAAUGAAGAAUUUCUAUUCUUUCUUUAUCUUUGCAACAUAUGUAUUGGGAAAUGUCACAUUUUUUGUGACAAUAAAUUGCAAUAAUAGCAAAUUGUAUGAAUCUGAUGUUAACAUUUUUCCAAAUUAUGGUAAAAUAAACAAAAUGCAAAUGAAAAAUUUCACCUAAAGUCUGACAAAAAAUACGUUUAUGGAAAAUUUACUAUUGAUGUUCAAUUAUGGGGAAGAAGUUAAACUUUUUAUGACUAUCCGAAGAAAGGCUUAAUAAUCUCAGUCGCAUUUCAUUAUUGGUCCAGAAUCUCUCAUAGUGUGUGUGUGUGUGUGUGUGUGUGUGUGUGUGUGUGUGUGUGUGUGUGUGUGUGUGUGUGUGUGUGUAAACAUCACUGGGAAUCAUGCAGUUUAAAAGUUGCAUAGUUCUGCUUUAAACUGCAGAAAUUCGGUGUCGGUGGAGGAUCCCCCUGUGAGCAGAGAGGAAAGCUGAUGAAAUACGAGGCGGACGCCACCGGGUGGGAGCAGAAGCACCAGAACCGCUGGUCAGACUUUUCCAUUACUGUACCGUUUAGCUGAUCUUUUCACCAUGAAGUGAAAACAUGUGAAGAAACUGUGUAUAAAAGCAGCUUUUAUAAACUCUACAUCUGCCAUGCAAAAUCCACACAGGAUGAUUUCAAAGCUGGAGCUGUGAGGAUCGUUUAUUAAAUAUAUUUGUCAAUAAAUACAGUAAAU